rnacentral:rRNA from 1 species
UCCUACGGGUGGCAACAGUGGGGAAUCUUGCACAAUGGAGGAAACUCUGAUGCAGCGAUGCCGCGUGAGUGAAGAAGGCCUUUGGGUUGUAAAGCUCUUUUGUAGGGGAAGAUAAUGACUGUACCCUAAGAAUAAGGUCCGGCUAACUUCGUGCCAGCAGCCGCGGUAAUACGAAGGGACCUAGCGUAGUUCGGAAUUACUGGGCGUAAAGCGCGCGUAGGCCGUUGAGUUAGUUAAUUGUGAAAUCCCAAAGCUUAACUUUGGACCUGCAAUUAAAACUGCUCGACUAGAGUUUGAUAGAGGAAAGCGGAAUACAUAGUGUAGAGGUGAAAUUCGUAGAUAUUAUGUAGAACACCAGUUGCGAAGGCGUCUUUCUGGAUCAACACUGACGCUGAGGCGCGAAAGUAUGGGUAGCAAAGAGGAUUAGAUACCCUGUGUAGUCCAUACCAUAAACGAUGAUUGCUAGAUGUGGAAAUUUAUUUCAGAUCGCAGCUA